rnacentral:rRNA from 1 species
AUUGAACGCUGGCGGCAGGCCUAACACAUGCAAGUCGAGCGAGCGGCGGACGGGUGAGUAAUGUAUGGGGAUCUGCCCGAUAGAGGGGGAUCACUACUGGCAACGGUGGCUAAUACCGCAUACUAUCGGAAGAACCCAUAUGGGAUUCGCUAGUAGGUGGGGUAAAGUCUCCCCUAGGCGACGAUCUCUAGCUGGUCUGAGAGGAUGAUCAGCCACACUGGGACGGAGACACUGCCCAGACGACUACGGGAGGCAGCAGUGGGGAAUAUUGCACAAUGGGCGCAAGCCUGAGGCAGCCAUGCCGCGUGUAUGAAGAAGGCCUUAGGGUUGUAAAGUACUUUCAGCGGGGAGGCGUUACCCGCAGAAGAAGCACCGGCUAACUCCGUGCCAGCCGCCGCGGUAAUAC